GACAGAGGGUGCAAACGUUGCUCGGAAUUACUGGGCGUAAAGGGCGCGUAGGCGGCCACCGCAAGUCGACUGUGAAAUCUCCGGGCUUAACCCGGAAAGGUCAGCCGAUACUGCGGGGCUAGAGUGCAGAAGGGGCAACUGGAAUUCUCGGUGUAGCGGUGAAAUGCGUAGAUAUCGAGAGGAACACCUGCGGCGAAGGCGGGUUGCUGGGCUGACACUGACGCUGAGGCGCGAAAGCCAGGGGAGCAAACGGG
rnacentral:rRNA from 1 species